rnacentral:rRNA from 1 species
UACGGGGGGAGCAAGCGUUGUUCGGAUUUACUGGCGUAAAGGGCGCGUAGGCGGUCGUGACAAGUCACUUGUGAAAUCUCCGGGCUUAACUCGGAACGGUCAAGUGAUACUGUCGUGCUAGAGUACAGAAGGGGCAACUGGAAUUCUCGGUGUAGCGGUGAAAAUGCGUAGAUAUCGAGAGGAACACCUGCGGCGAAAGGCGGGGGGUUGCUGGGCUGAUACUGACGCUGAGGCGCGAAAGCUAGGGGGGAGCGAACGGG